GCUUUCGUGGUAUAGUGGUCAGCACGCUCGACCCAUAUUCGAGAGGUCCGUAGUUCGAGUCCCGCCGAGAUCA
rnacentral:tRNA from 1 species